ensembl:rRNA 5S_rRNA 5S ribosomal RNA
UCUAACAAGCAUACUUCCCUGAGCAUACCCAAUCUCUUCUCAUCUCAGAAGCUAAGCAGGGUCAAGAGGUUACACUUGGAUGGGAGACCACCUGGGAAUACUAGGUGCUGUAGGUU